rnacentral:rRNA from 1 species
CAGCCGCCGCGGUAAUACGAAGGGUGCAAGCGUUACUCGGAAUUACUGGGCGUAAAGCGUGCGUAGGUGGUGGUUUAAGUCCGUUGUGAGAGCCCUGGGCUCAACCUGGGAAUUGCAGUGGAUACUGGGUCACUAGAGUGUGGUAGAGGAUAGUGGAAUUUCCGGUGUAGCAGUGAAAUGCGUAGAGAUCGGAAGGAACAUCUGUGGCGAAGGCGACUAUCUGGGCCAACACUGACACUGAGGCACGAAAGCGUGGGGAGCAAACAGGAUUAGAUACCCGCGUAGUCCCUGUCUCUUAUAC